CAGAUAUUUUCUAUCUAUCCUCGUCACGUUCUUAUCUGCUUCUUCUCUAUCCUUUCCUUUACAUAUCUGAAUGAUUAUUAUCAUCACAUUUUGGCACAACAUAAUCCCAAUCCCCUCACCUCUCGACCCAUUCUCUCUUCUCACCACCAACAUCACCAUUCUUCUUCGUUUUUGUCUCUUCUUGGCAGCAAGCAUCACCGUCAUCUUUCUUUCCCUUGGCAGUCCACGCACACUUCUUCUACAAAUCACGUUUUUCUUAUCCUUUCUUCUUCUUCAUUACUUUUCUUUUCUCCAUGGCUGGCCAAACGCACCACAACCCUCUGUCCUUCUUCCUCACGUAGCUCCCUUGGACAGCCACAGUAACCAUAAUCUCUGUGCACUUAUAUGGGUACAAGUAACGGAAGCGCUUGGCGACGAAGCCAAAGGACAAAAAGAAGCGAGCUGACACGGGAAAGCAAGGAUGUGUUUGGAUUAGAGUUGCAGUUUAGGAAAGAAAUUGACUAAGGCGAUGAAGAAUCUUCAAUGGAGCUUGACCUUCGUACGAGUCGGAGAGGAGAACUUAAAGAAUUGUGGAAGACUUGAAGAAUAGAGUCGGGUGUAGAGUUAGAGCCUUGAAUUAGAGAGCUAACCAUUAUUGGUUUAAGCUUGCCUAACGAUUUUAGAAAUUUAUAUUUGGGGUUUCGGGUACUCACCUUGUUCAAGGCUUGAUGUAAAUCCCUUUGUAGUUGGGAGUAUGCAUGACAUGUUUUGGAAAUACAUUUGAAAAAAAAAAUAUACUCGUGUUUAUACA